GCGGGGUAAUGGCCCACCAAGGCGACGAUCGGUAGCCGGCCUGAGAGGGCGGACGGCCACACUGGAACUGAGACACGGUCCAGACUCCUACGGGAGGCAGCAGUGGGGAAUUGUUCACAAUGGGCGCAAGCCUGAUGACGCAACGCCGCGUGGGGGAUGAAGGUCUUCGGAUUGUAAACCCCUGUCGAACGGGACGAAAGACUCGGGAGCUAAUCAUCUCGAGAGUGACGGUACCGUUAAAGGAAGCCACGGCUAACUCUGUGCCAGCAGCCGCGGUAAUACAGAGGUGGCAAGCGUUGUUCGGAAUUACUGGGCGUAAAGGGCGAGUAGGUGGCCAUCUAAGUCAGACGUGAAAUCCCCCGGCUUAACCUGGGAACUGCGUCUGAUACUGGACGGCUAGAGUUUGGGAGAGGGAUGCAGAAUUCCAGGUGUA
rnacentral:rRNA from 1 species